AACGAACGCUGGCGGCAUGCCUAACACAUGCAAGUCGAACGCGUGUAGCAAUACACGAGUGGCGGACGGGUGAGUAACGCGUGGGAACCUGCCCAAUGGUAGGGAAUAACUGCGGGAAACUGCAGCUAAUACCCUAUGCUCCCUACGGGGGAAAGAUUUAUCGCCAUUGGAGGGGCCCGCGUCGGAUUAGCUAGUUGGCGGGGUAAUGGCCCACCAAGGCUACGAUCCGUAGCNGGUCUGAGAGGAUGAUCAGCCACACUGGGACUGAGAUACGGCCCAGACUCCUACGGGAGGCAGCAGUGGGGAAUAUUGGACAAUGGGGGAACCCUGAUCCAGCAAUGCCGCGUGAAUGAUGAAGGCCUUGGGUUGUAAGUUACUUUUGGCGGGUACGAUGAUGACGGUACCGCAGAUAAGCUCCGGCUAACUUCGUGCCAGCA
rnacentral:rRNA from 1 species